GACGAACGCUGGCGGCGCGCCUAACACAUGCAAGUCGAACGGAGCUGAGAGAAGCUUGCUUUUCUUAGCUUAGUGGCGAACGGGUGAGUAACGCGUGAGUAACCUGCCCUGGAGUGGGGGACAACAGUUGGAAACGACUGCUAAUACCGCAUAAGCCCACGAUCCGGCAUCGGAUUGAGGGAAAAGGAUUUAUUCGCUUCAGGAUGGACUCGCGUCCAAUUAGCUAGUUGGUGAGGUAACGGCCCACCAAGGCGACGAUUGGUAGCCGGACUGAGAGGUUGAACGGCAACAUUGGGACUGAGACACGGCCCAGACUCCUACGGGAGGCAGCAGUGGGGGAUAUUGCACAAUGGGGGAAACCCUGAUGCAGCGACGCCGCGUGGAGGAAGAAGGUUUUCGGAUUGUAAACUCCUGUCGUUAGGGACGAUAAUGACGGUACCUAACAAGAAAGCACCGGCUAACUACGU
rnacentral:rRNA from 1 species